rnacentral:rRNA from 1 species
GAUGAACGCUGGCGGCGUGCCUAACACAUGCAAGUCGAACGGAGAUUACGGACGGAAGUUUUCGGAUGGAAGACUGUAAUUCUUAGUGGCGGACGGGUGAGUAACGCGUGGGCAACCUGCCCUAUACAGGGGGAUAGCAGCUGGAAACGGCUGGUAAGACCGCAUAAGUCGGCGAGACCGCAUGGUUUUGCCGGGAAAUGAGCAAUCAGGUAUAGGAUGGGCCCGCGUCCGAUUAGCCAGUUGGCAGGGUAAAAGCCUACCAAAGCAACGAUCGGUAGCCGGACUGAGAGGUCGGACGGCCACAUUGGGACUGAGACACGGCCCAAACUCCUACGGGAGGCAGCAGUGGGGGAUAUUGCACAAUGGAGGAAACUCUGAUGCAGCAACGCCGCGUGAGUGAAGAAGUAUUUCGGUAUGUAAAGCUCUAUCAGCAGGGAAGAUGAUGACGGUACCUGACUAAGAAGCCCCGGCUAACUACGUGCCAGCAGCCGCGGUAAUACGUAGGGGGCAAGCGUUAUCCGGAUUUACUGGGUGUAAAGGGAGCGCAGGCGGUUUGGCAAGUUGAGAGUGGAAGCAGGGGGCUCAACCCCCUGACUGCUCCCAAAACUGUUAAACUUGAGUAUGGGAGAGGCAGGCGGAAUUCCUAGUGUAGCGGUGAAAUGCUUAGAUAUUAGGAAGAACACCGGUGGCGAAGGCGGCCUGCUGGACCAAAACUGACGCUGAGGCUCGAAAGCGUGGGUAGCAAACAGG